GAACCGGUUGGCGGACGACGGCGAGAGACUGAAGCAGGUUUUUAACCCCUUGAGAGACUGACUGGCAGUGAACGCGGCCACACAGACGCAGGAGUUUCGCCGGUGGGGGGAAGGGCCGAUGCAUUCCAAAACACAAGUCUUUCAGAGAUGAGGAGGAAGUGUCCGCUCUUUGUUGCUCGCUAAAUAACAGCCACCACAGUGGGCUCGACUGCUAAGGUAGUCAAUAAACUGAACGACUUGACAACAGGAACACUUCUGAUUUGAAUAAGCGUAUAUAUGGGAACUGAGAAGUUUGAUCAGAAGACAAAUGCCAACAGGAAAUGAACAAAUGGUGACGCUUGAAGGCUUGAGACGCGAAGCACAGACGCUUGGAGGUAACUCUGGAGUGAAAAUGGAAAAGGAGGAUGCUUGUGUUGCAAGUUUUCAACAAUACAGCAUGAUCCGAUUUGGAGAAACCAAAGAAAAAUCAUAACCAACAUUGUUUCUUGAAAAUUUGACUUCGGCCCUCAGUGUAUCAUCAACAAAAGCCACCGGUAUUAAUUUAGUUUCACUUGUAUAUGUUUUUAUGGUUCUCAAAAUCUCAGUAGCUGGGAAAAAGAGUAAACAAAGAGUUGUGUUCGCACUUGAAGUUCAGUUCUCUUGGUUCUUCUGAUGGUUCUCUGGGGGAAUCAUCAGACACUUUGUUAGGGCCCAAACUACUGUAAAUCAAGGAUUUGAAAAAUUACUGAAUGACAAUUUUAACCCAGAGCGACAAUACAUAGGGAGAAUGCUUGUGUUUAAUUGUUCAACAAUACAAUACUUGUGCUUAUCCUGUGUAAAGAAACCUUGGGAAAUCGUAAACAAACAUUAGCUAGGUUUUCAUCCUAAAAAGCUAAUUUGCCUAAAACUGGAUUAUCGCAUAAAAGCUGUGCGAAUAAAGCAGCGUUUCCAUACAAUGAACCAAAGCGAGCAAAAUCGUCACUUCCUGAUUAACUGGUGCCAAAUACCAAAAGUAAAAACUUAAUUUGGUGCGAUAAGAGAAACUGGGUGAAUCUUUUCUUUAUUUAAUAAAUGACUUGUGCCUCAGAAGGCAAUCCUGACACGCAGUGAAC